rnacentral:rRNA from 1 species
CCUACGGGAUGCACCAGUGGGGAAUAUUGCACAAUGGGCGCAAGCCUGAUGCAGCCAUGCCGCGUGUAUGAAGAAGGCCUUCGGGUUGUAAAGUACUUUCAGCGAGGAGGAAGGCGUUAAGGUUAAUAACCUUAGCGAUUGACGUUACUCGCAGUUGAAGCACCGGCUAACUCCGUGCCAGCAGCCGCGGUAAUACGGAGGGUGCAAGCGUUAAUCGGAAUUACUGGGCGUAAAGCGCACGCAGGCGGUCUGUCAAGUCGGAUGUGAAAUCCCCGGGCUCAACCUGGGAACUGCAUUCGAAACUGGCAGGCUAGGGUCUUGUAGAGGGGGGUAGAAUUCCAGGUGUAGCGGUGAAAUGCGUAGAGAUCUGGAGGAAUACCGGUGGCGAAGGCGGUCCACUGGACAAAGACUGACGCUCAGGUGCGAAAGCGUGGGGAGCAAACAGGAUUAGAUACCCUCGUAGUC